rnacentral:rRNA from 1 species
UACGUAGGUGGCGAGCGUUGUCCGGAUUUACUGGGCGUAAAGAGCGCGCAGGCGGUCGUUCAAGUCGCGUGUGAAAGCCCCCGGCUCAACUGGGGAGGGUCACGCGAUACUGAUCGACUCGAAGGCAGGAGAGGGAAGUGGAAUUCCCGGUGUAGUGGUGAAAUGCGCAGAUAUCAGGAGGAACACCCGUGGCGAAAGCGGCUCUCUGGGACGGUACUGACGCUGAGACGCGAAAGCGUGGGGAGCAAACAGG